rnacentral:rRNA from 1 species
AGUGAACGCUGGCGGCAGGCCUAACACAUGCAAGUCGAGCGGCAGCGGGUCCCCGCGAGGGGAUGCCGGCGAGCGGCGGACGGGUGAGGAACACAUCGGAAUCUGCCUGGUUGUGGGGGAUAACGUAGGGAAACUUACGCUAAUACCGCAUGCGACCCUGAGUCGACGGACUUGGGGUGAAAGUGAGGGACCUUCGGGCCUCACGCGACCAGAUGAGCCGAUGUCGGAUUAGCUAGUUGGCGGGGUAACGGCCCGCCAAGGCGACGAUCCGUAGCUGGUCUGAGAGGAUGAUCAGCCACAC